GAUGAACGCUAGCUACAGGCUUAACACAUGCAAGUCGAGGGGAAACGGCAUUGAGUGCUUGCACUCUUUGGACGUCGACCGGCGCACGGGUGAGUAACGCGUAUCCAACCUUCCCAUUACUGUGGGAUAACCUGCCGAAAGGCAGACUAAUACCGCAUAGUCUUCGAUGACGGCAUCAGAUUUGAAGUAAAGAUUUAUCGGUAAUGGAUGGGGAUGCGUCUGAUUAGCUUGUUGGUGGGGUAACGGCCCACCAAGGCAACGAUCAGUAGGGGUUCUGAGAGGAAGGUCCCCCACAUUGGAACUGAGACACGGUCCAAACUCCUACGGGAGGCAGCAGUGAGGAAUAUUGGUCAAUGGACGGAAGUCUGAACCAGCCAAGUAGCGUGCAGGAUGACGGCCCUAUGGGUUGUAAACUGCUUUUGUAUGGGGAUAAAGUUAGGGACGUGUCCCUAUUUGCAGGUACCAUACGAAUAAGGACCGGCUAAUUCCGUGCCAGCAGCCGCGGUAAUACGGAAGGUCCAGGCGUUAUCCGGAUUUAUUGGGUUUAAAGGGAGCGUAGGCUGGAGAUUAAGUGUGUUGUGAAAUGUAGACGCUCAACGUCUGAAUUGCAGCGCAUACUGGUUUCCUUGAGUACGCACAACGUUGGCGGAUUUCGUCGUGUAGCGGUGAAAUGCUUAGAUAUGACGAAGAACUCCGAUUGCGAAGGCAGCUGACGGGAGCGCAACUGACGCUGAAGCUCGAAGGUGCGGGUAUCAAACAGG
rnacentral:rRNA from 1 species